rnacentral:rRNA from 1 species
AGUGAACGCUGGCGGUAGGCCUAACACAUGCAAGUCGAACGGCAGCACAGUAAGUGCUUGCUCUUACGGAUGGCGAGUGGCGGACGGGUGAGGAAUACAUCGGAAUCUACUUUUUCGUGGGGGCUAACGUAAGGAAGCUUACGCUAAUACCGCAUACGACCUACGGUUGCAAGCAGGAAAUCUUCGCACCUUGGGCGAUGCUCUGAGCCUAUGUGGGAUUAGCUAGUUGGGGGGCUAACGGACCACCCAGGCGACGACCGGUAGAUGGUCGGAGAGGAUGAUAGGCCACACUGGAGCGUAGACACGGUCCAGAGUCCUACGGGAGGCAGCAGUGGGGAAUAUUGGACAAUGGUCGCAAGCCUGAUCCAGCCAUACCGAGUGGGUGAAGAAGGCGUUCGGUUUGGAAAGCCGUUUUGUUGGGAAAGAAAAGCAGCAGCUUAAUACCCAGCUGUUCUGACGGUACCUAAAGAAGAAGCACCGGCUAACUUCGUG